UUUGACCUAAAUCCCUUAGCCUUUUCAUUAUGGUCAAUGGGUUGGACCUUAUGUUAUAACUUUGGACCCUAACUUUUAUUUAAAGGAAGCCUUUCUAGCCUUUUGUGAUAUUAAUGAAGGGGCUCACUUAUAACCUUUUAGAUUUUACCUUAGCAUUGAAACCCUACCAUAACCAAAGACUCUCCAAACAUUUAAACUUUACUACAUCUCUCUAUCUCUCUCUUGCCAUUCUCUUCUCUCCCUCACUACCCAAAGAGUUCUUCACCUUCCUCUACCUAGAAGACCAUCAAGUUGGCACCUUUCUUCAUCACCAAGUUUAGGAGGGACCACUUGGAAGGAAACUCACAAGAGUAGGCUAGGGAGUUGAAGGAUUUUUGGAUAAGCUAAGAAGGUUCUUAGUUGGUCCGUGAGUGCGGUUAGUUGGAGCCGGCUUAGAUUUGAUUCCCUUUUCCUUAGUUUAGUUGUUUCGGCCUGCGUGCCCUUGAACUAUGAUAUUUUGGUUAGUGUUUUGGUAAAGCUUGUGCAACUAGGUUUGGAGAAUCUAGUUGUGGCUUAACAUCCCUUAACUAUGUUUAGCUUCCAUCGAAUUUUAAUAUGAUUAUGGUUAGAUGUU